AAACAGGAAGUGGUUGAGUAAUGAAUCUGAAAACUUAUCACAAGAUAUAGCCGACUUCAAUAAACCUUUUAGAAAUCCUUAUUAUAAAGUUCAUAAAAAAAAUGCAACGAAAAUAUUCAUGGGCCGGAGGGAUGAACUGACGGACAGACUGACGGAUGAACAGUUGGAAGGACGGACAAACAGAGGUAAACCAGUAUACCCCACUUUUUUAAGCGGCGGUAUAAUGAUUGGAUCAACAUAAAGACUUUACAACAAUAAUAAUAUGAUAUAAUAUAAACCUUCAUAGCACCAUAAGCCUCAGUCACAAUCGGAGCCAAAACAAAAUAGAAAAAAACAACUAUAUAUAUCAAAUAACAGUCAGUAUCAAGACAUGCACUACAUUAUUCAAAAGAACUAUUGUUUAACAAUACAAUCGUCAGUUUCCC
rnacentral:lncRNA from 1 species